GACCGCGUAGCUCAGUUGGCAGAGCAUUGGGCAGUUGGGCUAGUAUUCCAAAGGUCGUAGGUUCGAAUCCCACCGUGGCCA